rnacentral:rRNA from 1 species
AACGAACGCUGGCGGCGCGCCUAACACAUGCAAGUCGCACGAGAAACCCUCCGCAAGGGGGGCGGUAAAGUGGCGAACGGGUGAGUAAUGCGUGAGUAACCUGCCCUCAUGUGGGGAAUAACUCUUCGAAAGGGGAGCUAAUACCGCAUGUGGUCCUGAGGUUAAAGCUGAAGGAUCAAAGAUAGCGCCCGCAAGGGGCUGUCGCAAGAGGAUGGGCUCACGUCCCAUCAGCUAGUUGGUAGGGUAACGGCCUACCAAGGCUAUGACGGGUAGUUGGUCUGAGAGGACGAUCAGCCACACUGGCACUGAGACACGGGCCAGACUCCUACGGGAGGCAGCAGUGAGGAAUAUUGCGCAAUGGGUGAAAACCUGACGCAGCGACGCCGCGUGGGGGAAGAAGGCUUUCGGGUUGUAAACCCCUUUUGGGAGGGAAGAAAAUUCAUCCGUGAAUAGCGGGUGGAUCUGACGGUACCUCCAGAAAAAGCCACGGCUAACUCUGUGCCAGCAGCCGCGGUAAGACAGAGGUGGCGAGCGUUGUUCGGAGUUACUGGGCGUAAAGAGCACGUAGGCGGUUAGGUAAGUCCUGUGUGAAAUCCCCCUGCUCAACAGGGGUAGGUCGCAGGUGACUGCUUGGCUAGAGGACGGGAGAGGAGAGCAGAAUUCCCGGUGGAGCGGUGAAAUGCGUAGAUAUCGGGAGGAAGGCCGGUGGCGAAGGCGGCUCUCUGGAACGUUCCUGACGCUGAGGUGCGGAAGCGUGGGUAGCAAACAGGAUUAGAUACCCUGGUAGUCCACGCCCUAAACGAUGGGCACUAAGUGUAGCUAGCGAAGGCUAGCUGUGCCGCAGCUAACGCAGUAAGUGCCCCGCCUGGGGAGUACGGCCGCAAGGUUGAAACUCAAAGGAAUUGACGG